rnacentral:sRNA from 1 species
GAAAAUCCUCACGUGAGGUGAAGCGCAGGCGAGUAGGGCCAGACAUGGUGGCUCAUGCCUGUAAUCUCAGCACUUUGGGAGACUGAGAUGAGAAGAUCACUUGAGGCCAGGAGUUCGAGACCAGACUGGCAACAUAGUGAGACCCUGUCUCUACAAAAUGCUGGCCAAGGAGCAGGGCCUGCGCCCGUGGUCUCAUAGAGCCUGGCCUGUUCUGGAAGAGCACCCAGUUGUUCUUUCUAGGCUGCCCAAGCCCCAUUGAUGAUGGCUGAGAGGGAAGAGGACGACGACACUGAGGAAGCCUGGAUGCAGCUACGGCCCACAGAACCCUUGCCCUCCCAGUGCUGCGGCAGUGGCUGCUCACCCUGUGUGUUUGACCUCUAUCACCGAGAUCUGGCAAGGUGGGAGGCAGCCCGAGCCAGCAAGGACAGGAGCCUGCUGCGUGGGCCAGAGUCACAGAGCUGCCCCUCCAAGCUGAACCCAGAGACCUUCGUGGCCUUCUGCAUCAGUGCCAUGGACAGGCUCACUAAGGACACCUACCGUGUCCGGUUUGCUCUACCCGGGAACAGCCAGCUUGGCCUGCGGCCCGGCCAGCACCUCAUCCUACGGUACACUCAGGCUGGUCUCAAACUCCUGACCUCAAGUGAUCAGCCCACCUCGGCCUCCCAAAGUGUGGGGAUUACAGACAUGAGCCACCGUGCCCAGCCUUAUAAGGGUUUGCUGAAUGACUGGCUGACUGACUGCACGCUUCUGUUUCUCAGAGGGAUAGUAGAUGACUUAGAAAUUCAGAGAGCCUAUACGCCCAUCAGCCCUGCCAACGCAGAAGGAUACUUUGAAGUGUUAAUUAAGAUGAAGAAACUGAAGCUCAGAAAGAUGACAUCAUUUGUCUCAAGGCCCCUUGGGUAAUAUGAUCCAAAUGGAAGGACAAAAGUUCAGUGUCAGUUCUGUUUAACAAGUAUGUAUUAAACAUUUACUCUGUGCCAGGCUCUGUGUGGGUAUGUAUUAGUCCGUUUUCACGCUGCUGAUAAGGACAUACCUGAGAAUGGGCAAUUUAUGAAAGAAAGGGGUUUAAUGGACUCACAGUUCCACACGGCUGGGGAGGCCUCACAAUCAUGGCAGAAGGUGAAAGGCAUAUCUCACAUGGCGGCAGACAAGAAGAGAGCUUGUGCAGGGAAACUCUGCUUUGUAAAACCAUCAGAUCUCAUGAGACUUAUUCACUAUCACAAGAACAGCAUGGGAAAGACCUGCCCCCAUGAUUCAUUUACCUCUCACUGGGUCCCUCCCACAACACAUGGGAAUUCAAGAUGAGAUUUGGAUGGGGACACAGCCAAACCAUAUCAGGGUACUAAAGACAACAUGGAAGAAUCCUUCCCUUCUUCUUGGGUGCUGUCAAGGCCACAGCUGGGGUCAUGCCUCCCCCUAGACAGGGGCCAGAAAACAAAGCGUGCAUGGAGACAGCCUCCAGCAAGGCAGGAGAAAAACCUCACCCUUCCUUCUAGACCCCUUCCAGUUGAGCCAGGGACUUCCGUUGCCUUGUGCAGGUGGUGCCCAAGGAAGUCAGGGAUGAUAUCGGAGAUGGCCAUGGGUGCUUAAAAACAGGUCUGGGGACCAAAGCCCUGUCUCUGUGUUAAGCCUGGCUAUAAUCUUACUCCAAACACCCUUCCAGUCCUGUCUCCCAGUGCUUCGCCCUCACCCUCACCCUACCAUGUUCACUUGCUAUUCCCAAAACAUGACCCAGAUUGUCCUACCCCUGACCAUACUACACCUGAUGUCCAGAGUCCUCUCUGCACCCCUGCUCCCAUCCCCAGUGAAUUCCAUCUUGCCCAUCUUUCAAGGUCCAGCUCAAAUGCUUCCUCCCCCAGGAAGCCAUCCUUGAUCCCAUCCAUGGAAGUGGCUGCAGCCUUCUCAGGUUUAUUCCUAGUUUAUUCUUCUCAUGGGUGUUAGAUGGUCUCUACCUUGUAUAUGUCUGAGACUUAGGUCCCUUCUAGAUUGUAAGCUCCUUAAGGGGAGAGCCUGAAUCUGGAUUGAUUGAUUCAUUCAUUCAUUCAGGUAUUUAUUAAGUUAUUUCCAUGGUUCAGGCACUGGCUGCCUUCAUGGAGCUUAAGAUCUAGCUGUCUUGCCUGCAUCCUCAACGUGGUGCCUGGCACAGAGUGGACAGGCACCCAGGCAAUAUAGACUCCCCUCUCCAUGGAGGAAUCACUCCUGUAACCUUCAUUUUUCAUCCAGCCAGGAGAUGGUGUAGGAUAAUGCAGAGACUGCAGAUGGGUGGCCUGAAUCUAGCCCACAGAUGUAUUUGGUAUUGGCCAGCUAGAGUUUUAAAAUUUUGAAUUAAUUGCAGACAUUUCAAAAAUGGGAGAUUUUAAAUAAAAAUAUGGAUUUCGUGCCUCUUUUGGAAAAUCAAUAGAUUUGGCCAAUUAGGCCCCACAAACUAUGGACUGAAACCUGCAAACUGGCUUCCCUCCUUAGAAGGAGCACUCGCUCACCAAUUUAUCAUAGUCCCCAUCACUCCCUAUUGUCUCCCUGACGCUGAGACUGUGUGUUAAUUGCCAUUAAUCAUCACCCAGUUCUUCAGUCAUUUAUGGUACCUGCAUGGUCGCUGUGGGCAUUUGGGUUUGGGACCUGUAUGCUGAAGGCUUUAGGUCCUAUGGAUUCUCAUCCCAGCCUCCUGUCUGCCUUCUGUGUAAGCUUCUGGGCCUCAUCUGAAAAUUGGGAAUGGCUGUACCAACUUUGUAGGAUAAGGAGGACGAUUAAAUGAGAUAACACAUGUGAAGCACUCAGCAUACAGAACGGGCUCCACAUUAAUGGUUAAUCUGGUUUGUGUUGGCAGCACGUACCUGUCCCGCUGACGUCUCCCUGUGUUUGCUUCCAGUGCUACCAGAUGGGGCUGAUGUCCCGGUAUGUUGAGUCCUGGAGAGUAGGAGACACAGCUUUCUGGCGAGGACCUUUCGGAGAUUUCUUCUAUAAACCAAACCAGUAUGGUGAGCUCCUCUUGCUGGCUGCGGGCACGGGCCUGGCCCCCAUGGUGCCUAUCCUGCAGAGCAUCACAGACAAUGAGAAUGACGAGACUUUUGUCACUCUGGUUGGUUGCUUCAAGACCUUUGAGAGCAUCUACCUGAAAACCUUCCUCCAAGAGCAGGCCCGUUUCUGGAAUGUCCGUACCUUCUUUGUACUCAGCCAGGAGAGCUCCUCAGAGCAGCUUCCCUGGAGUUACCAAGAGAAAACCCACUUUGGCCACCUGGGCCAGGACCUAAUUAAAGAGCUGGUCAGCUGCUGUCGGAGAAAGCCAUUCGCACUGGUCUGUGGCUCGGCUGAGUUCACCAAAGACAUAGCCAGGUGCUUACUGUGCGCAGGCCUCACUGAGGACUCCUAUUUCCUCUUCUAGCCCUGGCCUCUCUUCCAAAGCCUAGGCCAUGAGCCUGCUACUGGGACCCAGGAAGGAGCACAGACUGGAAUCAGAAGACACGGAGUCCAGGCCUGGUCCUGCUGCUCAUUUGCCAGGUGACCUUGGGCAAGCGUCUUUACUGCUCAGAACCUCUACUUCUCAUCUGCCCCAUGAGGUUAAUCACUCCUCCUGGCCUCCUACUAUGUAGAAGGAGGACGGGCUGUAGGGGCCCUGAGGAGGUGAGCAACCAGCCUGGGAGUCAGGGAGGACUCUUCAGAGGAAGCCAAGUCCAGGCUGAGCCCCAGGAGGAGUAGGAGUUGGGCAGGGGAAGAGUCGGGAGGAGCUUCCCUGGCCCCUCUGAUUAGAGGAUCUAAUGGGGGCUCCAACUGUGGCCUCAGCACCAUCUCAGAUUAGGGGCUCCUGAGUGUGUAGGGAAGGACGCGGGAGAGGCUUAGAGCUCUUUGGAGGAGGAUUCUGCCUUUCCUCCAGUGCCAUGAGCCUGACACAUGAAGGUCUUGGGUUCUAUGACUUGACCACGUCCUGAGAGCAAGGUGGGGCCCUCGACUGUCUUUGUAUUGGCCCCAAGCCUUUCUUGCUGUGAACAGCUUCAUUCUCAGUCCCCUUUCCUGGCUCAAAAAUCGAGCCUAGCAAAAGAAGAGGCACGGGAAGGAAACGCCCCUCCCUCCUCCUGCAGGCAGCCACUCAGCCUGUGCCUUCAGCUCGGUGCCCUGGUGAUGGUUGCUAUGGAGAUCUAAAGAUAGAGCAGGAGUCAGGAGACCUGGGUCCCUCUCCCAGCUUGUCCCACUGAGCGGCUGCCGAUCCCGGUCCAUCCACCCCAGGAACCCGGCACCCCCAUCCCGGGAACCCAGUGCCCCUGGGCAGCGCACUGCAGUUAAUGAAUUCUGCCUUCCACAGCCUGGGCUCUAGCGUGCUGCACCAGCUUGGGCUAGCUACAGGCAGUCCCAGAAUUGGAAUAUUAAGCCAUGGAAUCUUAGAGUUAGACUUUUAUAGUCAUAGAAAGGUACUCUUCACCAUAUCAAAGCUGAAAGUUCAGGACUCUAAGAAACAUACAGUGUGACAGACUUAUCGUAUACACGGGAAACUGAAGCCCAGUGAGACUAAAUGACUUGCCCAGGGUAAAACAGUCCAUGGCAGAGCCAGCACUAGAAGCCUCCUAGCUUCAACCUCAUGUGCCAAUUCUGCACCAGUGAUUUUCAAACUGCGCUCCACAGGAAGCAAGGGUUCUUUGUAUAGCAGCAGUGAAAGGACAGCUCCAGAUGGAUCCCCAGUCCCCCCUUCAACCAGAGCAGUUGCAUUUUUAUCCCAUUCAUAUAUUGGAGUUUUGAAUUAUUUUUAUUUGUACAAAAGGAUUUUCCUAGCCACUCAAAAAAAUGGCAACAAAUCUCUCUGCUGUGUCACAUUUAAUAAAUAAUUGUGACACAUAGCUGGGGGGUGGUGCUGGAGGUUUCAGACCGCCUCACAGGCAGAGUUCCAGGGUCAGAGAGCAUGGAGUACUGUGUGUGACCUUCUUCCAGAAGCACGGGCACAGGAGCAUGUUAAAGGCCCUGAAAAGACCAGUGGCAAAGAAACUCCUUUCAUUUUGUUUAAUCCAGAGUUUUUCAAGCUUAUUUAACUAUAGAACGCUUUUCUGUGGGUUUCGUAGCCUCUUUCUAGCACAGUAUAAUGAGUGGGAAAGGCCCUGACUGAGAGUCAAAGAUUCUGAGCAGGAACCAUGAUCUCUUCCUGCCUGGUAUGUGACUUGAGCAAGACACUUUUCCUCUCCCCAGGCCUCUGAGGUCUGCGAGUUUUCCUCCACCCUUUCCUCUCCCUCAGUUUGCACAUCCUAUUGACUCAGCUCCAAAUAGCGGGGGCCUGUCAGGAGCCUGACUCUGUUCAGACACCAGGGAAACAACAGCACACCAGGCAGAUGCAGUUAUGUCCAUCGGGGAACUUACAGCCUAGCAAGGAAGGCAGCAAUUCAACCUGUAAGUCUAAAAGUGAUGGGUGUCAUGAAAAGGUAAGUGCAGGGUGCUGGGAGAGUGGUUGGCAGGGGCUUUAGCCUAGUCUAGGGAGAGCCCAGGGGCACACCACUGCCAGCGGGGGUAGAGGCUUCAAAAGCUUUGAAGUCACUCAUAUUAAGAGUGUUGCCGGACACGGUGGCUCAUGCCUGUAAUCCCAGCACUUUGGGAGGCUGCGGCAGGCAGAUUGCCUGAGCCCAGAAGUUCGAGGCCAGCCUGGCCAACAUGACAAAACCCUGUCUCUAA